UGGGGAAUUUUGGACAAUGGGCGAAAGCCUGAUCCAGCAAUGCCGCGUGUGUGAAGAAGGCCUUCGGGUUGUAAAGCACUUUUGUCCGGAAAGAAAUCCUUGGCUCUAAUACAGUCGGGGGAUGACGGUACCGGAAGAAUAAGCACCGGCUAACUACGUGCCAGCAGCCGCGGUAAUACGUAGGGUGCAAGCGUUAAUCGGAAUUACUGGGCGUAAAGCGUGCGCAGGCGGUUUGCUAAGACCGAUGUGAAAUCCCCGGGCUCAACCUGGGAACUGCAUUGGUGACUGGCAGGCUAGAGUAUGGCAGAGGGGGGUAGAAUUCCACGUGUAGCAGUGAAAUGCGUAGAGAUGUGGAGGAAUACCGAUGGCGAAGGCAGCCCCCUGGGCCAAUACUGACGCUCAUGCACGAAAGCGUGGGGAGCAAACAGGAUUAGAUACCCUGGUAGUCCACGCCCUAAACGAUGUCAACUAGUUGUUGGGGAUUCAUUUCCUUAGUAACGUACUAACGCGUGAAGUUGACCGCCUGGGGAGUACGGUCGCAAGAUUAAAACUCAAAUGAAUUGACGGGGUCAUAGCUGUUUCC
rnacentral:rRNA from 1 species